CACAGGCGAUUUUCUCCUUGCAGACUUUAGGCGCCACUGCUCGGUCCGGAAAGGAAAGAGAAACGGCCCAGCGCGGUCGCUUGCUGACUCAGGUCAGGGCUGCGCUGGGCGCCCGCGUGCGUUUUCAAGUCUGCGGCCCGGAGUUCACUGCGAGAACUGGCAUCACCCGUCACCCCGCCCUGGUCUACGGAAAAUGAAAUGUGUUUACUGAUAUAGAAACUGCAUAACGGCGCUGCGGGCUGGGGAAGGCCGAGCUGCCUUCAGGCUUCUGGUCUCCAGCUGCGGGUCACUCACAUCUGCCGCUGUGAAAUGCAGACCCGCGGGGCAGGAAUUCCGAGUACGGGCUGGAGAGGCAUCUGGAAUCUGACUCUCUUGAAACAGCACCGCGGAGGAUUCGGAGCCAGGAAAACUCACAGCUAAGAGGCCAGGAAAAAGCCUCCCAGGGUCCCGCCACUUCAGUGAGGAUCCUAAUUUACACCCCGAGUGUGGCCUCCAUCAAAGACUACAGCGACGUUCGCUUAAAUGAUACAAGGUCAGCGGGGCCCAGGGCGCUGCGGCUCACAGAAUGCGGUGACAGCGAUGCCUCGCGUCCCUUCCCUGACCUUCCCCAAGCAGAAGCGGUGAAGUGUGUUGGUGUUGUGUGAGGCUGGAAUACAGCGGGUGUCAAGAGCAGAGAAUGGAGAAAGGAGGGAAAGAUGGGACGCUGCCAGGUCAAGUAACACAGAACAUGAACUUCUACCUCCAGAUGUGCCAGGGUGUGUCUCUUGGGUACAAGAACAAGGGUUUCAUUUUGUUUUACAAAAUCAAAGUACAAAUC